GUGAGUGGCGGACGGGUGAGUAACACGUGGGUAACCUGCCCUAAAGUGGGGGAUAACAUUUGGAAACAGAUGCUAAUACCGCAUAAAACCUAACACCGCAUGGUGUAGGGUUGAAAGAUGGUUUCGGCUAUCACUUUAGGAUGGACCCGCGGUGCAUUAGUUAGUUGGUGAGGUAAAGGCUCACCAAGACCGUGAUGCAUAGCCGACCUGAGAGGGUAAUCGGCCACACUGGGACUGAGACACGGCCCAGACUCCUACGGGAGGCAGCAGUAGGGAAUCUUCCACAAUGGACGAAAGUCUGAUGGAGCAACGCCGCGUGAGUGAAGAAGGUUUUCGGAUCGUAAAACUCUGUUGUUGGAGAAGAAUGUAUCUGAUAGUAACUGAUCAGGUAGUGACGGUAUCCAACCAGAAAGCCACGG
rnacentral:rRNA from 1 species